rnacentral:rRNA from 1 species
GAAAGGGAAUCGGAACACAGGUGCUGCAUGGCUGUCGUCAGCUCGUGUCGUGAGAUGUUGGGUUAAGUCCCGCAACGAGCGCAACCCUUAUCAUUAGUUGCUACGCAAGGGUCACGUCUAAUGAGACUGCCGGUGACAAACCGGAGGAAGGUGGGGAUGACGUCAAGUCCUCAUGGCCCUUAUGGCCAGGGCUUCACACGUAAUACAAUGGUCGGUACAGAGGGUUGCCAAGCCGCGAGGUGGAGCCAAUCCCAGAAAGCCGAUCGUAGUCCGGAUUGUAGUCUGCAACUCGACUACAUGAAGUCGGAAUCGCUAGUAAUCGCGGAUCAGCAUGUCGCGGUGAAUACGUUCCCGGGCCUU